rnacentral:rRNA from 1 species
UACGGGGGGGGGCAAGCGUUGUUCGGAAUUACUGGGCGUAAAGAGCUCGUAGGCGGCUUGUCGCGUCGACUGUGAAAACCCGCGGCUCAACUGUGGGCUUGCAGUCGAUACGGGCAGGCGUGGGAUUCGGUGAGGGAGGACUGGAAUUCCUGGUGUAGCGGUGGAAAUGACGCAGAUAUCAGGAGGAACACCGGUGGCGAAGGCGGGUCUCUGGGCCGAUACUGACGCUGAGGAGCGAAAGCGUGGGGAGCGAACAGG